rnacentral:misc_RNA from 1 species
UCCGAUUUACACCGGCGGUCUCCUGUGAGUUCCCAUCUUUCAUGCUGGUAACACAGGACGAGGGUUGCGCUCGUUGGCGGACUUAACCGUACACCUCACGGCACGAGCUGACGACAGCCAUGCAACAAGUGUCUUCACGUCUCCUUGUGGGAGAGGGCCCUCUUUCUAGAGCUUUCGAUCGAUGUCAAACCUGGGUAAGGUUCUUCGGUUAGUAUCGAAUUAAUCCACAUGCUCCACCGCUUGUGCGGGUCCCCGUCAAUUCAUUUGAGUUUCAACCUUGCGGCCGUACUCCCCAGGCGGAGAACUUAGCGCGUUAGCUACGACACCGAGGGGCUAAUCCCCCCCGACAUCUAGUUCUCAUCGUUUACGGCGUGGACUAC